AGCCCUUAGGAACCUCUGAGGGAAGGCCAAAGAGACAGGAACUUUGGACAGGGACUCCGGGUUGCUGGGCUAUUGGCCUGUCAGAAGCUCUGGGAGACGUGUGUCAGUAGAACGACCCGACCAGUAGGAAGCCUCAGCCCUACUGGCCUGUCAGGGGCUCCCAGAAAUGUGUGUUAACACCCAUCACCAGAAAUGCCAUUGGAAUGAAAGUGGAGAUCCAAUCAACCCCUGGGGUGUUAAAAGUGUAUGAGAGUGUGUUCUGGUUCUGAGAGUACGAGAGUGUGAGAGAUUGGUCUCAGCCUGAAACAAACAGUCCUGGAGACAUUUGUGAGUGGACUGUGGAUCUUUUCCUUCAAGGGACCCUACAAGACUUUGCUCCUUCUGAGACCGCCUUAUUUACCUACUUGCUUUUAUGUGUCUUAUACCCCUCACGGCCUGGUGCAUCUUUAGCCUGGCAGUCAUUGGUCUCUUCAUCCUUAUUAUUGGUAUUGGGCUUGUUAGCGCUGCCCCUCCGGACUGGUCCACCAGGAAGCAUGUGGUCCUGACUUGUUUUUAUCUCUUUGUGGUGACCUUGUUCACACUUUUGUCCCUACCUGGAGUAUUUUUUCCAGCUAGUUCUAAUUCUUCUGUGUCUCCCUAGCUCUUUGAUGCCCCAUCGUCCCCAAACUUCGGGCCCUUCCUUUUUCUGUCGCUUGGGGAGGAUUCUUCACAGCUACUAGCCCUUGACAUGGGGCCCUCUCCUUUUCCUAGUCUAGGGAGGUCUCUAUUGCAGGAAGUGAAAACACUAUUGAACCAUAAAAAGAUCCCGUGACUUGCCUCGUCUGUUCUCCCACUGACUUUGUCUUAAAUGGCAGCUCAAAUGAAAAAUCAAAGCUGCCCAGGUUAAGAAAUGAGUUGGAAUGUGUGUAUGUGAGUGCUUGGAAACUAACUGAAAUGAGUAACAAUAUACUUCUUAGUGAUCUUGAGAAAGCAACAGGCAGCUGCAGAGGAAUUCCUCUAAAGAUAAGAAUAAUCUACACUGAGCUAAAAUAACCUUGAAAAGAAAAAGAUAAUAAUUUUGUGUAAGAAAGAAAUCCUGUGUGAAAACUUCUUGUCUUAAAGUAACUGUUGGUUUUUAAAAAGACGAUUUAAGACAAAAAUUAGGGAUUUUAAAAUGUUGAAAGAUGGUGCAUGUAAGUUGUAAAUGUUUAUGAAAAAUUUAAAAGGACUUUCAAAAUAUAAUAAUUUAGUUGUUUAAAUUGUUAGGGAAACUGAGUCUGUCAAAGAAAAAAUUCUUGCUUUUUAAACCUUCUAAUUAUCAGUUUCACUGAACGAAUUGGCUUCAUAAUAAACUGGGAUCCUGCUUUGUAGGAAAUAUAUUUUUGAGAGUAGGACAAAUUAGACAGAAAGGAAAAUGGCAUUUUUAUUUAAUCGGCACAAGAUUGGAUAAGAAUCUUGUGCGGAUUAAAUAAAGCUCAUAAAAGGGAAUAAGUUUACAUGUGAUUCAAUUAACUAUGUAUUGUCUUUAAAAUCUUUUGGCGUAGUCUUGUUUCAAAAAUUUUAAGCCUCUGAUAUUUGACAAACCAUCCAAAGUCAAAACUCCAAAUUUGGAGCUCGGCACCUGUAGCACAGUGGUUGUGGUGCUGGCCACAUGUACCAUGGCUGGCAGAUUCAAACGCAGCCUGGGCCAACUAAACAACAAAAACACAACUCUAAAUCUGAUCUUUUUGAAAUAUUAAAACCACUGAAAACCUGAGGAGAACAAAUUAGACUUAUCUGAUUCGUUAAAAUGUAUAGGAAACAUUGUCAAAUAUGAAAUGGUAAUGAAUUUUGUAUGAAUUAUGGUUAUAUGUAUGUUCCAAUAUUAUAAGACAUUGGUCUAUCCUAAAGUAUAAGACAUUAGUCUGCCCUAAAGUAUAAAAUAUCGGUCUGUCUUUAUGUAUAUUAUCAGUAAUAACUUUAAUUCAUCAAAAAAGAGAGAAAAGAAAUAUUAAGAGAGACUGACAAAUUCUCUCAAAUUCAAAUUCCUAAUGUCUUUGGAAAUUGAGUACCCUUGGACUAAAAACAGACUUUUAGAACUUUCACUGGAAAGAUAACAUGUCUAUGAGUAUUGCUAAAUUAGCUUCAAAUAGAACAGAAAUCAGUUACCUGGAACUAAGCUGAUUUGUUAUAGUUUUUGUUUGAAUUAUUGCUGAUUUUUUCUGUGUUCUGUUUUCCAGAAGUCAAGAAAAUUAUUUUCUAUCUUUGAGCUAUUUAUAGCUUUUCAAGCAAUGUAUGUACUUAUGAGCAGAAUCUGAAACAUGUAUUUUUUCUCUCUCAUUAAUUUCUCUGGAAUUUAAAGGCCAUUUGUGUAAGUAUGCUUAAUUUCUGACAAUACAAUUAUUUGCAUAAGUUCAAUAAAGAAUCUGUUUUGUUCUACAGAACAUAAUGAAGGCAUUGGUUAUUUUACCAACGCUUUGGCUGGAAUAGCAUUUCCAGAGGUGUCCAGACUGCAUUAAGGAAGGUUGACUUUAUAAGGCCAAUAAAAAGCCCUUUGGAAAAACUGGCCAGAUACCCAUCAAUGAUGUUUUUGAUCUGUGUAAGUAACGAAGGUCACUUUCUGACAGGUGUGGGAAUUGAAAUGUGCUUAGGAACCCCAAGAGAAGAGGAAUUUACCCAAUGCAUACAGGUAUCUAAUGGCACAGAUGAAACCUGGGCUUGUGAAAGGCUUCAAGUCCAACUGAGAUCCCUUAUAAAAGAUUCCAGCAAAGCCAAUUUUAAAGGAGAGCCUAAAUAGCUAAUAACUUAUUCUUACUGCACUCUAUGCAAAUAGUCAAACCCAGUAUACUGAAGGUACAGUUUAUUUUAGCAACUGAUUUGGUGGAAGGGGAAAUUAGAGAGAGAAAAAGUCCAAGAAGAAAAGGAAGGCUAUGGCCCACCUGUACUAAAUCCCAGACUUGUCUAUAAUGUCAACUUAUAAAAUGAGACAAAACUAUUUUAUAAAAUGAUUUGUUAAAUGGAGCUAAAAGACUGCCAAAGAGUCUUUUAUAUACAGAGAAUUAUAUACAGUAGUUAUAUUUGCUUUAAAGCCUUAAGACUCAACAAAGGUCACCUGUUGGCUACACUGGAAAAUUUGUGCAGUAUUAAAUGUUAUCUGCUGUAUCUGAGUGUUGCCCAGAGAAAUCAUUUCAUGGUUUAAGUUGCUACUCUGGUUUAAAUUUGACAAUGAACUAGCCUUCAUAACAGAAAGAAUGCAAAAAAUAACUAAAACUUUGGGUAUCACCGAGAAACUAGAUGUAACUUAUAGGCCUCAAAGCUUGGACAGAGUAAAGUACAUGAACAGGGCCACAGAAGCAAAAAUCGAUAAACUCUGCCAGGAAGCAAAGUUUAAUUAAAUACAGGCCUUGCCAAUGGUGUUAUUCAAAGAAGCCUCCGUCACUCCUCUACAAUUUAGCAGGGACUCCUAAAAGAACUGAAAGAGACUGAAUUAAAUAAACAGAAACCCUAGAAGGAGUAGCAAGAAAAAUCUUCAUGUGAAUAAUUAGCCGUGUUCUGUUUAGUCUUUUGUGUCUGUACAUUCUUUCUCUCUGAAAAAUCAAGGAACUUAAGUCUAGAUUCAGGAUCAGAACCUGUUCCCCCCAAACCAAGGCAGAAAGAAUUUUAUACCAUCAUCCUGACUACACCCAUGGCAACGAGGAUGAAAAGAAUCCUCACCUGAAGUCAUCACAGCUGGCUAAAUAGAGCUUCACUGUCCCUUGGAAGAGACAGAGUCUCACUUUACCGCCCUUGGUAGAGUGCCAUGACGUCACAGGACUCACAGCAACCUCCAGCUCUUGGGCUUAGGCGAUUCUCUUGCCUCAGCCUCCCAAGCAGCUGGGACUACAGGCGUCCACCACAGUGCCUGGCUAUUUUUUGGUUGCAGUUUGGCCGGGGCUGGGUUUGAACCCGCCAUCCUCGGCAUAUGGGGCCAACACCCUUCUCACUGAGCCACAGGUGCCGCCUAAUAAUGCUCUCACUUCUUAUGUCCAAAAGAGAAUACAGAUAGUGAAACUUGUAUCAUUAUGAGCACACUAUCUACAUAUUCAUCAAGAUAAGAAUGGAACAAUGAUUUGAAUCCCUGAAAUCAGAAGGGGGGAAUGAGAUGGGUGUCAGCUGCCUCCUCAAGCCCAUAAGAUGGAUACCAAUGUGCACCAGCGGGCUGUGUAGGAUAAAAGAUGAGAAUACCACAACUAUGAAAGGAUGACAGGCACCAUUACUCUUAGAUGGGUCCAGAUCGGGCCAGAACAGAACAGCAUAAGAACUAAUGGGCCAAGUACUGUCAUGAUGAGAGUUAACAUCAUGUGACAUGUUAACAUGCUGUGACAUGUUAAGUGCUAUGACAAAUUGUUUUACUUAUUUGCUAAUUGCCAGAUCUGCUUUAUGUGACCUUUAUUUUACCUAUCUGCUAAUCUGCUAAAUUGCAAGGUUCGCUUCUGAAAAAGGGGUCAUGACCCCGCGCUUGCUUUUUGCUUCUUUUGCCAACUUUCAGACCACCAGUUUGUCCCUUUGCCAACUUUCAGACUAGAAAAACCCCAACUUCAGACCCCUCAAUGCUCUUUCACUUAAUCUGCUUUAGACUUUGCUGAGACAGCCCCACGGUUAAUAAAAGACUCCUUUUUGAACUUCUAAUUUGCCAAACAAUAAUGACAACUACAUACAAAACAAACAAACAAAAAGCCGGGCGUUGUGGCAUUGUGCAGGUGCCCGUAGUCCCAGUUACUUGGGAGGCUGAGACAAAAGAAUCGCUUAAGCCCAAGAGUAUGAAGUUGCUGUGCGCUGUGAUGCCAGGGCAAUCUCCCUAGGGCGACACAGUGAGACUCUUUCUCAAAAAAAAAAAAAAAAAAAAAAAAGAAGAAAAAAAGCAUAAAAAUUAUUUAAAAUACUACCAGUGGUUAAUGCUGAGUAGAAUAAAUAUGGGACAUUUUUCAAUUUUCUCUUUAUUAUCUAAUUUUCCUAUAAUGACCACACAAUAUUUUUAUUGUUAUUUAAUACUUAAUUACUAAAAAAACAAAUAAUACAAAAGUCAAAUACUGGCUGUUCUGUGACUGUAAGCUGACAGGUUCUAGCCCUCCAUGGGCCUGCUAAACAACAAUGACAAUUGCAACCAAAAAAUAGCCAGUUGUAUGGUGGGCACCUGUAGUCCCAGCUACUUGGGAGGCUGAGGCCAGAGAAUCGCUUAAGCCCAAGAAUUUGAGGUUGCUGUAAGCUGUGACGCCACAGCACUCUACCAAGGGUGACACAGUAUGAUUCUGUCUCAAAAAAAAAAAAAAAAUCUUUUUUUUUGAAAUCUUUCCUUCCUUCCCCCAGUGAUAUAAGCUUGCUGAAUAUCAUUACUAAUCAUUUCUAUACAUAUCUAAACAAAAAAAAUUCUAUUUUAAGUAAACAUAUGACAGUGGUAUUGUGUUCUGUGGGGUUUUUCUUUUUAAAAAUGGAAUUAUACAUUUUGUUUUGCCACGAGUUUUCCUUCAACCAUAAAUUAUAGAACAUCUUUCCAUAACAGUAUAUAAAGCCAUCUAUAUUUUUUUACAGCUGUGUAUUUUUUCUUUGCAGAACUAUAUUAUUACUUAAUCUUUAUUCAACCAAUGAAAAAUAAAAUUGUUACCAACUUUUUGCUACUACAAAAAUUGCUUCAAAGAAAGCCUUAUGUAAUAACUGGAAACAUAUAAAACAAUAGUAGCUAUCAUGAGUGUUUACUAUGUGCCAAGCACCACAGCUUCCUCAUAAAUAUACUACAAUAUCACUUGUAUGCAUUAUUACUAUUUGUAUAAUUUGUAUUUCUUCUGCAAUCUGCCUAUUCAGACUCGUUUUCUCUGAAAACUUAUUGUUUUACAAUAAACACGUAUUACAUUAUUUUAAAAUAAAAUU